CCUACGGGGCGCAGCAGUGAGGAAUAUUGGUCAAUGGACGAGAGUCUGAACCAGCCAAGUAGCGUGAAGGAUGACUGCCCUAUGGGUUGUAAACUUCUUUUAUAUGGGAAUAAAAUGUUCCACGUGUGGGAUUUUGUAUGUACCAUAUGAAUAAGUAUCGGCUAACUCCGUGCCAGCAGCCGCGGUAAUACGGAGGAUCCGAGCGUUAUCCGGAUUUAUUGGGUUUAAAGGGAGCGUAGGUGGAUUGUUAAGUCAGUUGUGAAAGUUUGCGGCUCAACCGUAAAAUUGCAGUUGAAACUGGCAGUCUUGAGUACAGUAGAGGUGGGCGGAAUUCGUGGUGUAGCGGUGAAAUGCUUAGAUAUCACGAAGAACUCCGAUUGCGAAGGCAGUUCACUGGACUGCAACUGACACUGAGGCUCGAAAGUGUGGGUAUCAAACAGGAUUAGAUACCCGUGUAGUC
rnacentral:rRNA from 1 species